rnacentral:lncRNA from 1 species
UUGGCCUCUGACCCCUCCUCCCGCUGAUGCCAAUGACAGGAAACCAGAGACUCUCUGCCUCAGAGACUACAGGGAGAGAGGGAGGAUGGGCCCAAGGUGUAUUCCUCUUACGAUGCCCACCCUUAACUCACCGUGCAUUGCCUGAGGGCCCUGGGCUCUCAGUCUGCAUUGAUUGGAGCUGGGACCGAAGCCCCCAUUCCAGAAACCGGACCAGGAGAUAGGCAAACAAGAAGAAGCCACCCAAUGUGAGAAAGAAAUAAGCAACGGGGGUGAUGUCCGUCUUUAUGCCCAGCAAAGCCAGCCCCAGUAGGAAGGAGGCGCAGCACAGGAGGAGAAGCGGCUUCUCCAGUCUCCCCAGUUCUUCAAUCUCAAAUAAAUCAUCUGUAGAGUCCCCUCCAGUUCCGAAAUUCUCUCUAUGUCUUGGAGUGUGUGGAAUAGCCAGGAAACCAGCCCAGGAGCUUUGACUCCCAGCCAUUCUGAUGACUCCACCUGGACCAGUGACUCCUCUGUGGCCCGCAUCCAAAUGCAACUCGGUGCACUGAGGACGGUUUUCCACACCCCUGUGAUUGCAUCCCCAACCAAUUAGCAGCACCCAUUCUCUAGCCCCUUGCCCAUCAAACUAUCAUUAAAAAACUCUAGCCGGCGGGCAUGGUGGCUCACGCCUGUAAUCCCAGCACUUUGGGAGGCUGAGGUGGGUGGAUCACUUGAGGUCAGGAGUUCAAGACCACUCUGGCCCACAUGGUGAAACCCUGUCUCUACUAAAAAUGCAAAAAUUAGCCGGGCAUGGUGGCAUGUGCCUGUAAUCCCAGUUACUCGGGGGGCUGAGUCAGGAGAAUUGCUUGAAUCCGGGAGGCAGAGGUUGCAGUGAGCCGAGAUCAUGCCACUGCACUCCAGCCUGGGUGACAUAGCAAGACUCCCUCUCAAAAGAAAAACAAAAACAAAAACAAAAAAACCCACAAAGUCCCCUAGCCUCUGCCUCCGAAUUUUGGGAGGCUAAUUUGAGUAAUAAUAAAACUCUGGUCUCCUGUUUAGCUGGCUCUAUGUGUAUUAAACUCUUUCUCUAUUGCAAUUCCCUUGUCUUGAUAAAUUAGCCCCAUCUGGGUAAUGGGCAAGAUGAACCCAUUGGGCUGGUGUCAGGGUGACUGUCCUGCUCUGCAGUGGAGUCUU